UAAUAAUUCUGGACCAGCCAAAAAGACAAGAUUAUUAUUUGGACGCUUGAAACAGAAAACGUUUGUCUGACUCGGAUUCACAAUAAUAAUCUCCGACUUCAGAUUGGCAGAUAUUAUAUGAAGCGUGAAGGCAGAUAUUAUUUGAAGCGUGAAGGCAGAUAUUAUUUGAAGCGUGACGAAAAGAAGCACCCCAUUGAGAGAGAUUAGCAUGUGACGCAAGCGGCACGUAUGAUUACAGUACUUCAUUGUCUGACAGACCUAACCGUUAUUCAACUUAUUGACUCAUGGAUAGAGGGUGUUCUCAAAAGAUCUGUGUGGAUCCUGGAACAGAGAAUGGAAUCGUUGCAGCAUUUCAUUGAAUCCUGUUUAGAAGGAAAUGGCAAUUCAGUUACUUAGGGAAAAUCUGGAGCAAAUCAAGGUGCUUCACAAUACUUCUAUGCAGUUCAACAAAAUACAGCGCCUCAUUUACAGAGACUCGUAUUUAAACAAUUUCCAAGAUAUUGAUGAAGAUUUUACAUGUGUGGCAACAUCUAUUUUGCAUCAGCACGAUCUGCCUUUGCCUGACACCUUGAGAGACUGGACCUCUGCUCAUCAUCUCUACAUAUAUCUGAGGGAGUGCAUGAUGGAUUUGAUGAUUCUUUAACAUCAUAAGAUGUUGUCGAAUAUACAUUUGUGUCCAUGACUUUGUA